GGGAAGAGGAUCAGCCCAGCAAGUCAGGCAGCUCCCGCCUGCUUCUCUGCCCCAGGGCACGGGCAACCCAAACAGUCCUCUCUCCAGCCCGGUGAUGUGAGUAGACAGGUCACUGACCGACCAGUUCUCAUAAUCUGGUACUUACUUCCGAGAGCGCACUGGCCCUGAGGACUGCGGAGGAAGCUGGACAUGUCAGAAAAGACUGGAAUGUCGAGAACAAAGAGAAUGAUCAACUGAAGAUCGUGAACCUGAAGCCGUGACCUGUUUCUUCUUUGUGAUGGAAAACUGGAACCUGGAACACAGGUUCAAUAUUCACUUGCUACUGAAAACCAGUGCUAGACUAUUCCACAGAUGCUCAGGCCAAUCUGAGAAAGAACAUCAUGCGGAGUGAGAAACCUGAGCAAGUUCCACAGAGCGUGACAUUCUUCCCCAUCCCUACAACACCUGCCUUUGACAUCAGAAGAGGGUAAAACCACGUGCAAAGCGUGCCUAUCAUAGGCUACUUCCUAGUUCUCUAGAAGAAAAAGUCAAUAAGAGGACAAGAAGGAAAGAGUAC